UACGGAGGACCCGAGCGUUAUCCGGAUUUAUUGGGUUUAAAGGGUGCGUAGGCGGAUUGGUAAGUUAGAGGUGAAAGCUCAGCGCUUAACGUUGAAACUGCCUCUGAUACUGUCGGUCUAGAGUAUAGUUGCGGAAGGCGGAAUGUGUGGUGUAGCGGUGAAAUGCUUAGAUAUCACACAGAACACCGAUUGCGAAGGCAGCUUUCCAAGCUAUUACUGACGCUGAGGCACGAAAGCGUGGGGAGCGAACAGG
rnacentral:rRNA from 1 species